rnacentral:rRNA from 1 species
UACGGGGGGGGCAAGCGUUGUUCGGAAUUACUGGGCGUAAAGGGCUCGUAGGUGGCCAACUAAGUCAUACGUAAAAUCCCUCGGCUUAACCGGGGAACUGCGUCUGAUACUGGAUGGCUUGAGGUUGGGAGAGGGAUGCGGAAUUCCAGGUGUAGCGGUGAAAUGCGUAGAUAUCUGGAGGAACACCGGUGGCGAAGGCGGCAUCCUGGACCAAUUCUGACACUGAGGAGCGAAAGCCAGGGGAGCAAACGGG